CCCUCUCUGUCCCGCUCCUCUCCUCCUCAACUCCACUCCACUCCACACGCGGCGGCGGCGCCCAAAACACGGCGACAUCCGACGGCGUCGAGGCGUGGGCUCGAUCGCCGGACCGCGCGUGCAUCCAUCCCUGCGCGCCGCUCCGUCGACCUUGCCUCGCCGCGUCGCGCGACCGCCGCGCCACGGGCAGCAUCCGCACAACAGCACCAGAUGCCGGCCGCCGGUGCCCGCCAGAUCCCCUUCCCCGCAGCACGGGACCAAGGUUCCUGCUCCUGUGCUGUGCUUGUGGAGCUGCUGCUGCUGCUGCUGCUGUCCAUCCCAUCUCCUGAUGGCCGCAGCGUCCGUCAGGCCGAGAUGCACCUGUUUUAUUCGACUCGGACCGCCACCACCAUAGCAAGCUCAACAAUUGGAUCGAAAUUCACUAGAGCGACUCGGACAACGCCGUACACAAGAUAAACUCCUAGUAAGAUGAAUAUGCAGCGUGCCUUAUAACUGAUUAAUUGCCUACGGGUUCAGAAGAGCGACUCGGACAACGCCAGAGACAAGAACGACUCGUAGUAAGUGCCAGUGGUACUGUUCUCGCGCCCUCGACGCCUGGGUUCACCACCGACAACUCCAUCGCCGUGCUGAUGGUGAUGUCGCUGUAGACGAUGCUGCUAUCCUCGCUGCCGCUGCUGGCGGCAUCCUGCUGCUCAGUCAUGGAUGCUGCUACACUUGUUGCCUGUCUUCAGCGAGGAUGUUCUGCCAUUGGAGGUAUACAUCUUCCAUGUCAAGGUCUGUUUCUAGUGUUUUUUUUUUGUCUGUUGUUAAUCAUGGAAAAAAGAAUCAGUACAAAAAUUCACCCUGAAAAUGCACAGCAUUUAUCUGUGUGUUACUGCUAAUUGGAUGGUGGUUGUUUACAUGAACUGCUCUGUUGGGCUAGCAAUCUAGCUCGCACCUUGCAUUUUGAAAAUGUCUUCUUGGUUCUGAUUAUGAACAUAUUUUUUUUGUGAGAGGGCAUUGACUGGAGUGUGGAGUGGCUGGAGCCUGGAGCAACAUGAACGUCCAGGAAACCCUAUUUGACUUCAUCCUGGUAACUGGUCAUUUAGAUCCCUUCGACCUUUCCCUCCAUCUAGCUUGAAUCAAGAUUAUUAUGGGUAUCUUGUUGCUUCAGAUUGUACAGAUUCAGUGUUAUUACAGUUUAUAGUGGAUGGACGUAAUCAUGCCGUGCUAAUUCUGGAAUAUGUAAUUUCGAUUCCAUCUUCGUGUGGUCUGAUAUGUGCUUCCCUGUUAUGGCUAACUUGGGAAUACUUGUUUAUGAUCCAAGUGCACAAGUUCUUAGAUGCAAGUACUAUUAUUGUGGCAAUCGAUUUUGUCCAUGUGAGGUUAGAGUUUGAGUGAUAUAAUUGAUCUCCUGUUACCAAAGUUCCUGUCAUAACUAUUAAAUUGUCUUCACCUUUGCAUUUCUUUUCUUACUCUGGAGUCUGGAUUGGUUGGCCCCAUGCCUAUCUACACAGAUUUAAGUAGCUACUUGCCUACCUGUGUCCUGUGUCCUGUUUACUAUACAUACAAAAAUUAUCUCUGCUUUCCAUUACAAAUGGCCAGCCAGUAGAAGCAUAUAUUGCUGAUGCUUGUAAUUUUGUUUAACUCGUUGAAUUGUGUAUUUUCCAAGUGUCUAGCACAGCAUCUUAGAUUAUUUGGAGUCUUGUCUAAAUAUCAGUGUUUUCAGUGCUAACCAUGCUUUGUUCUUGUUUGAGGAUAACGAGGACUAAAUGACAGCGGUGGUCUUCUUCGACUCCAUGUGUUUAGAUCAAAUCAAGCAAUGAAUUUCACCUGCAUAUACAUGUAUGUUAGCUAGUUGGUUUGGGCCAGCUAGUUAAUUUGUGAAUGCAUGUGCGAGGCUAGCUAAGAGAAGGGGAAAACAAGUCUAGCUUGCUGAAACGUGUAUGCAUGGUGUUGCGCCUUGGCUGUGGCAACUUCGUAGUCCGGCAUGACCCAGAGAGCUGUCUUGGCCCCUGGCGGCACCGUUGUUGCUGUGACGACCUUGCCAUAUCUGUAAUAUUGCUGUUUCGGUCAAUAUUGGGUAUUAGUCGGCAUUGCGACAUCAUUCUUGUAAUCCUCCAGAUCUGUCGUAAUAAUGUAGUAGCUGUUUGUUUUGGACUUACAUAGUGUUGUUUGAACUAUUGUUGUGACAUAUUUUUGAUUUGUUA